rnacentral:lncRNA from 1 species
AAGGAAUUCUGUUGACCGAGGGGAAGGUGUUAGGCACCCCUCGAUCCCGUGGUUCGACCACGGUCGCUUGGUAGAGUGUAUCAACUAUUUUGGCAUUACGAAAUGUAUAAACCACACAAAAGCACGGAAAAUAAUCAAACAAUAACAAAACAAAACAAAAAUGUAAAGUCCAGUCCAAAUUAUUACAACCCGAAAUAAAAAUACUGAAAUAACCUACACUAGUCCUAAACUAUGCUUUACCCGAUGCCUCGGGCCUUGGUCACGAGCAUCCUUUGUGUACAAAAUUCUUCAAGGCAUUCCCCGGUGAGUAAAU